GCUCGUUUGGCUCAGUUGGCAGAGCGUCAGUCUCAUAAUCUGAAGGUCGGGAGUUCGAGCCUCCCAAUGAGCA